GAGGAAUAUUGGUCAAUGGACGAGAGUCUGAACCAGCCAAGUAGCGUGCAGGAAGACGGCCCUAUGGGUUGUAAACUGCUUUUAUAAGGGAAUAAAGUGAGUCUCGUGAGACUUUUUGCAUGUACCUUAUGAAUAAGGACCGGCUAAUUCCGUGCCAGCAGCCGCGGUAAUACGGAAGGUCCGGGCGUUAUCCGGAUUUAUUGGGUUUAAAGGGAGCGUAGGCCGGAGAUUAAGCGUGUUGUGAAAUGUAGACGCUCAACGUCUGCACUGCAGCGCGAACUGGUUUCCUUGAGUACGCACAAAGUGGGCGGAAUUCGUGGUGUAGCGGUGAAAUGCUUAGAUAUCACGAAGAACUCCGAUUGCGAAGGCAGCUCACUGGAGCGCAACUGACGCUGAAGCUCGAAAGUGCGGGUAUCGAAC
rnacentral:rRNA from 1 species